GUGCUCACUUUGGCAGCACACAUACUAAAAUUGGAAUGAUACAGAGAAGAUUAGUAUGGCCCUGUGCAAGGAUGACAUACAAAUUUGUGAAGCAUUCCAUAUUUUU
ensembl:snRNA U6 U6 spliceosomal RNA